AGAGCCUCAGUCUCCCGUGAGCAGAGGGUGUGUGUGUGGCUGCCACUAUUCUGCAGACACGCUGGCUCCACCCCAGAGAGUUGCAGGGCCAGGAAAUCUGCAUUUAAACAGACCCUGGCUCUCACACUUCGGAAACUGCCCGAAGCACCUCUCAAAUAUGGGACAGGUGCUUAGGCCGAAAAUCAGGAAUCUCUUGAAUGAAUGCAUGAAGGUGGAGCCCUUUCCCUUAAUGCGCAGGUGAAAAGGGCACCUCGGUGGAUUCUACUAAAUUUAAUAGAAGACCCAAGACGGGGUGGGGGAGACGUGCUUUGUGCUCACCUGGCUGGUUCAUGGGCAGGUGGCCUGGAGGACCCAGCCCUGGCAGCUGUGGGGUAGCUCCAGCCUGGGCCGGACAGCUUCUUUCAUCGCAGGCACCACUGCGGACAUUGCUGGGAGGAAGAGGAGGGAGAAGCGACGGGCUUCAUUAGGAACGGAAAUGCCAAGAUUAGUGAAAGAAUGAAAAGAGUCAAAACAGCCUAGAAAAGGCUUCAAUGAUCCUCAAACUGGAUGAUCGAAUCCCGAAUAAUUGGGAAUCAACAGUAAAGGCCAAAGCUUUCGAUGGAUUGGACGAGGCGCGUCCACCCUGGGGAGGGCCAUCAUUUUAUUCAGUCUACUGAUGCAAAUGCUUAUCUCUUCUGGAAACACCUUCACAGACAGACCCAGAAUAUAGUUGAACCAAAUACUGGGCACCUCAUGGCUCCAACAGGUUGACACAAAAAAUGAACCAUUGCAGAAAACGAAGAACAGUCACCAACUCCCACCCAUGCAGCUGGCUCAUUUGCUGGGCUGCCCUCCCCAGCAGGUGGCACAGGAAUCCCUGCCUUGGCAGGGAGGAGGCCUGGGGUGUGUGCAGGUACCCAUGGGAAGUUUCUUUGCCAUGGGGAAAGCCAGAGUCACCCCUUGCUUGAACACAAGAGUUGGAGGUUUCAGUGAGCUGAGAUUACGCUAUUGCACUCCAGCCUGGGCGGCAGAGUGAGACUCUGUCUCUAGAUAAAUAAAUUAAAUAAAUAAAUAAAUAUAAUUUAAUAUAAA